rnacentral:rRNA from 1 species
AUACGUAGGGGACGAGCGUUGUCCGGAAUUACUGGGCGUAAAGGGCGCGCAGGCGGUAUAUCAAGUCAGCUGUCAAAGACUGGGGCUCAACCUUGGUAUGCGGUUGAAACUGAUAUGCUGGAGUGCUGUAGAGGCAAGUGGAAUUCCCAGUGUAGCGGUGAAAUGCGUAGAUAUUGGGAAGAACAGCGGUGGCGAAGGCGACGUGGGGCGCAGCAAGCGGCGCAAGCUGCAGAAAGGAGGAGGGACGAGCGAGAUUAGAGUCAUCGGUAGUUCUAGCAGGAUGCGAUGAAUGCUAGUGGUGUGUGUAGAGAUACAGUUGUGCCGGAGUUAUCGCUUUACGCAGUCCGCCUGGGGAGUACGGUCGCAAGAUUGAAACUCAAAUGAAUUGGCGGGG